CAGCAGGCCUGCUUGGAGGAGGGAUCUCUGCCUGCCCCUCGCUCUUCCUGAACCUGGGAGGGAGGGCUGUUUGCUGAACCCAGACCCACCAGAAAACGUCCUUCUUGUUGAGGAAGAGCACAAUGGACGUGGUGGCGAAGUAGCGGUGGUUGCAGAUGCUGUUGAACAGCACUGUCUCCAGCUUUCCCUGGAAACACUCAGGCCCUGCUUGGCACCCACCACUUCGUCGUCCUCCACCAGCACCAUGUCGUAGGCGCUCAGUGCCGCGAUGAAGAUGAUGCAGGUCACACCCUCGAAGCAAUGGAUCCACUUCUUGCGCUCUGAGCGCUGCCCGCCCACGUCGAACAUCCUGGGGAGCAGUUGGGGCCUGAACCCGCGCUUGGAACGCCAUGGACGCGCCCACAGGCAUCCGCUUGCCCCCUAAUGCUGGCCGGGGGGCACUCGGAUGGGACUGGAGUGUGGGGUGUCUGAGGAGGGGCAGGGUCUCUUUGGGACAGGGCCUCUAACAGGGUCUGGGGGCGCUGCACUUGCAGCCACAGCCCCUGAGGGAGGGCCAGGGCGCCGGUGUGGGGUUGUACCGGAAGUGGAGGUCCUUGAAGGAGAACUGCGUCUCGAUGAUGCCUGUGGUCUUGACACGGGAGCGCAGCACGUCCUGCUCAGUGGGCACGUAGCCCGGGGUGACCAGGCGCUCCAGGUCCGAGAGGUAGCUGCCGGAGACCGCGGGGUGUGGGUGGGUGUGGUGGAGGGGCAUGGUAGGACCCCGCCUGCACCCCCGCGCCCCGCCUGCGCUCUCACUAGCCCGCCGAGUCGUUGAGCUGGUACUCAGAGGCGCGUUCGAAGCAGGCCUGGAUACCCGAGUCCUUCCACAGCCGCUGGAUGAUGUCCGACAUCUCCUUGGGCAUCGUGCCCUCUUCGAUGGUGUCCGCCAUGUGCAUCAGCUUCCGGGCGUCGUCCUGAGGGUGGGGUGGGAGUUGGUGGUGGUGACCGUGGACUUGAGCCCAGUCUCGUGCCUCGAGUCCCCAGAGGCCCCGCUCAGCCAGUCUCCUUGCACACCUGGCGGGCAGAGUCUCCAUACUGGAUGUUGAGUGUGGUCAUGGCGCGCACGAUGGCGAGGAUGGACUGCAGCGUGUUGCCGUAGAUGAUGGCGAUGAACUCGAGGCACUCUUCUAACGAGUACCCAUCCUGGUGGAUGAUCCUGUGGCCAGGGUGAGCCGGGUCAAGGCCCAGUGGACAGGUGGGGAAGGACAGGCCCCGUGGGUGUGCCCACCCUCAGGGACCUCAGAAUAGGCAAGGACACUCACUUCAUCUGCUUGACAAUGGUGCUCUUCCCGGACUCACCCGCGCCUGGAAGGGAAGCUCCGCCUCAGAGCUGCGCUUGCCACACCUCCCUACAACCCUCCCCCCCACACACCCCCUACCCCUCGCGCCCCGCCCCCCCGCAACCGGGCUUGGAAGAUGGGGACCGGCAGACUCAAGGCAGGUACCAGUCCAAACCCCAGUUCCACCUGUUUGCCCCACCCCCCACCCCAAAGCAAGGUCCCGACACCCUGGAGGAAACACAUUUGUAAAUGCCAGGAGUGAGGAGGGGCUGACAAGGGCAAUCAACGACCUCAGCUGUGUUGGGGAGCCUCCAAGACCCCUGGCAUUUCCAUUCUUGGUUGUUCUGAAACCAAAAUAAGGAGAACCUGGAGCGCCACACCGUGGAAUAUUCUGGUACUGCAUGCAGAGGAUUAUUUGAACCGGGUCAACCCCCGCUUUUCAGGGGUUGUAGGGAAGGGAGUGUCUCCUAGAGGCUCAGAGGGAAUUAGGGCCUUUGAGUGGGGGAGAAGACAGAGCUGACAGCCCCUCUGAGCCUGCUCUCGCCAGGGCUUUGGGUACAGUUAAUGGGAUUUCUGGCUUAGUCUCUGUCUCCCUGGGGUGCUCUGGCUUGGUCUCUCUGCCCACAUCCAGAUGCCUGACUGGGUCCUGGAGAGCCUGGGGUGGGACCUGCACUGCCUCUCAAAGCUGCUCCUUCUUCCCCUUGUGGAAGGUAGUGACCUGGAGGCACUGCCUCAGUCCCACCUCUCCUCACCUCCCAUGGGACCAAGUGCUUGGCUUUAUCUAUUCUCCCAGGGUCUUAGUAGCUCUAAAGAGGGACACCCUCUUUAGGUUUGCCCACAACAAAGCUCUGGAAUCUAAGGGCCGUUGUUUGUGGAUCUGGAUGGUGCUAAAGGAUGCCCACGCCCAGGAGGACUGUUACCUCCUUUUUCCAAGGAAGCAGCCCUAUUGUAGGGCUCCCAAGGAAGCCCCUUGUUCCUGACCCCUGCCCACCAGGGCUUCUCCAGAGGGGAGGGUGCCUAAGUCAGGGCCCCCUGGAGAGGGGUUCCACCGGAUACCCAGCUUUGGGGAGUCAGAGUACUGCCCACCAGGGCCAGGGCUCCCACUCAGUUCCCUGACCUUAGUUAGGAUCAUUCUGCUUCCCAAGUAACCCAUUUCACAGAAGAGCUACCUGCCUGCCCCCCACCCCUGCCUGCGACCUGGUGGCAGCCCCCCCACCUGGACCCACACCCAUACCCAGAAGCAGCAGUUUCACGGUUCGAGCAUCCUUCUCAGCAUCUUCUUUGAGCUUCUUUUCCAGCUCCCUUGAGUGCUUCUCCUCAGCACUAGCCCCAGCCCCCAUGGUCCUAGCAGCAGGUGAACAGGGUCGUUGGCUGGUUCUUCUAGAUGGAGGGGAUCCCCAGAGCCGGGCGAGCCGGGCUCAGGUCUCCCAACACCCUUCUGACCCCAGGACUGGCAAUCGACUGGCUUUCCACAGACCUGUGCAGGCCUGGUGGGGCCGCUUAGUGGGAUUUGGGGGCCAGGGGUUCCCAAGAGCCAAUGAGAGACAAGGACAGGUGAAGCCAGCUCAGCCCCCAGCCCUUCUAAUCAGGCUGGCGUGGCCCCAAUCCCUCAGCUGCUGACUCUGCACCCCUCUCAAUGAGCCCCAACCCUCUAGGAGAGACCAUGGAGACAGUCCAGCCCCUGUACCAGAGCAGGGAGACUGGUUCCACAGGGUCCAGACUUAGAAGGGGGAGAAUAGGACCCUGAACCCCUGGUGGGGGCAGGGAGGCGGGGCUGGGAGCAGGGAAGAGAGGGAGAAGCAAGCAUGGAGCACCUGGGCCAGGCCCAGCACUGGACUCAACACAACUCUCUAUUUUCUUUUUUUUUAAUUUUUAAAAAAAAUUUAAUUUUUAAUUUUUUUAUAAACAUAUAAUAUAUUUUUAUCCCCAGGGGUACAGGUCCGUGAAUUGCCAGGUUUACACACUUCACAGCACUCACCAUAGCACAUGCCCUCCCCAAUGUCCAUAACCGCACACCCCCUCCCAACUCCUCUCCCCCAGCAACCCUCAGUUUGUUAUGGUGGGGCGCCUGGGUGGCUCAGUGGGUUGGGCCGCUGCCUUCGGCUCAGGUCAUCAUCUCGGGGUCCUGGGAUCGAGUCCUGCGUUGGGCUCUCUGCUCAGCAGGGAGCCUGCUUCUUUUCCUCUCUCUGCCUGCCUCUCUACCUACUUGUGAUCUCUAUCAAAUAAAUAAAUAAAAUCUU